AUACAGUGCAUCAGAAGGGACAGUACACACCAUCUUUCAUUCCCACCAUUCUUUGUGAAGAGGAAUCCAAAUGUUCUUUGGCCUGAUCGAGUUCUUAUGGGUGCCUUGAGCCAUCCUAGGAGGCAUCCCAAGUAACAACAUUAAGAACGUAUAAAUGUUUGAACUGUGCAGACUUCUUGUUGUGAGAAAAAAAGCCUGCAGCCAAUGAGAUAGAAAUGGAGAGAAGGGCAAUAGCAGCUUGCACACGUCAAGGAUCUGCAGCGCAUGAAACCCCUUAAACUGAAGAUGAUGUUCCUGAAGCCUAGAGAUGUCAGCACUCGCAGUCAGCCGCUUUAUCAUCCAUUGCUCCAUUAACCUCAUCCACCUGGUCAACACAAUUCAAACAUACCAGAUACAGACUCAGUUAAAACAGAUAUGGGUGCAAGUCAUGACACUUUUACAGAUUAAAGAUGUCCGAGAUUCACGAUGAAUGCUGUUUGAAGAAGAAUGAACAGAAUCACAUUUUAAUUUAAUCUCACUGCCAAUGUGGACUUAAAGAGGACGGGCUCUGUUAUGACAACUGUAUUUUUAAGUAACAGAGAUAAGGGUGUUAUUGGAAUCAUUUCAAUAAAAUAUGGGAGUACCGGUACAUACCAGUUUGAUAUCUUGAUUAGACUGGGACUUAAACUUAAACAAAAACGAUAGAUAUUGGACCUCUCUAAUACACAUUAUAAACAUCUCAUGUCUUAAGUCAAUAACAAAGCUGUAAUAAGGCGAUAUUUAGUGUAAUUAACACUUAGGGCUAUUCUCCUAAAACAUAUAACCACCGGGUUUGGCAGAUUUUUAAUAAUAUAUGGUUGGGCUUUUUUGCUAAUUUGCACCCCAAAAGGCACAUUUGCUUUUGUAUGGGGUUGGCAUAAAAACUUAAUAAAUGCCUUCCCUCCAGUGGUUAUAUUUUUAAAUGGACAAAAUAUCAAACUGGUAUGUACCUUAUCAACAUUUUUAGCUGGACUAUUUGAAUAAUAAGGAGGGUUAUACCACUCGCCUCAGCAUCUGCUUUGGCUUUAGUGUCCGGUUAAAGUUUAAGACCAAGUUGGGAUUUUCACUCAUAGGGAUUUUCACUCAUAACUGCAAAACCCUUCAUUAAAGUCACUUAAUACUCCAUACAGUUGUUCAGGGUCAUUACAUAAUGAGGUUAAUACUUCAAUAGCCUUCAUUCAAUGGACUUAAUACCUUGCACAAUUAAUGAUGAACAUCUUACAAUAAGGUGACAUAACUCCAUUUUAACUAAAUACAAAUUAUUGCCCUUUUUUCAUUUUUAUUUCUUAUGUCAGGCACAUUUAUAUAUUCUUAACAGGGUUUUUGAAAGCUAAUUGUUUGGGCGGGCUGGUGGAAGGGUCUUCAAAGUCACCUUAUGUGUAAAAUAAUUUUAGCUAGGUUUGACAUAUAGUGACCAAACUUCGUAUGUAGGAAGCCUUUAUGAAGACCUUUCAUGAGAUUGCGUUUUAGGCUUCUGGGAUCAAUAUAAAGGUCAAAGUUACUAUUAAAAGCAAAAGAACUGGUAUUGAUUAACUUAAAGGUCGACAUAUUGUGACCAAACUUGGUUUAUAUGAAAGUUCAUACAGACUUUUUAUGCCCCCGAAGGUGGGCAUAUUAAAAUUGCACCGUCCGUCCGUCCGGCUCUGUAACUUUCCCUUGUAUGGACAGAUUUUAAAAUAACUUGCCAAAUGUGUUCCACAUACCAAGACGACGUGUGGCGUGCAAGACCCGUGUCCCUACCUCAAAGGUCAAGGUCACACUUAGUGUUUAUUCACAAUGGAGUGCUGCAUAUAAGGACAUAGAGUAUAGGUUGUCGUGUCCGGGCUGUAACUUUCUCUUGUAUGGACAGAUUUUAAAAUAACUUGCCACAUGUGUACCACAUACCAAGACGACGUGUCGCGUGCAAAACCCGUGUCCCUACCUCAAAGGACAAGGUCACACUUAGUGUUUAUUCACCAUAGAGUGCUGCAUAUAAGCAUAGAGUAUAGGUUGUCGUGUCCGGGCUGUAACUUUCCCUUGUAUGGACAGAUUUUAAAAUAACUUGCCACAUGUGUACCACAUACCAAGACGACGUGUCGCGUGCAAAACCCGUGUCCCUACCUCAAAGGACAAGGUCACACUUAGUGUUUAUUCACCAUAGAGUGCUGCAUACAAGGACAUAGGGUAUAGGUUGUCGUGUCCGGGCUGUAACUUUCCCUUGUAUGGACAGAUUUUAAAAUAACUUGCCACAUGUGUACCACAUACCAAGACGACGUGUCGCGUGCAAGACCUGUGUCCCUACCUCAAAGGUCAAGGUCACACUUAGUGUUUAUUCACAAUGGAGUGCUGCAUAUAAGGACAUAGAGUAUAGGUUGUUGUGUCCGGGCUGUAACUUUCCCUUGUAUGGAUAGAUUUUAAAAUAACUUGCCAAAUGUGUUCCACAUACCAAGACGACGUGUCGCGUGCAAAACCCGUGUCCCUACCUCAAAGGUCAAGGUCACACUUAGUGUUUAUUCACAAUGGAGUGCUGCAUAUAAGGACAUAGAGUAUAGGUUGUCGUGUCCGGGCUGUUACUUUCUCUUGUAUGGACAGAUUUUAAAAUAACUUGCCACACGUGUUCCACAUACCAAGACGAUGUGUCACGUGCAAGACCCGUGUCCCUACCUCAAAGGUCAAGGUCACACUUAGUGUUUAUUUACAAUGGAGUGCUGCAUACAAGGACAUAGGGUAUAGGUUGUCGUGUCCGGGCUGUAACUUUCCCUUGUAAAGACAGAUUUUAAAAUAACUUGCUACAUGUGUUCCACAUACGAAGACGACGUGUCCUGUGCAAGACCCAUGACCCUACCUCUAAGGUGAAAGAUACACUAAGUGUUUAUUCACAAGGGAAUUCUGAAUAUAAGGACAUAACAGUGUAGGUUGUCAAGUAUGGGUGGUAUUUUUUUAUGUUCAGAGGAAAUUUAAAAUAACUUGCCAUAUGUAUUUGACACAUAAAGGCAAGAUCAACUUUUCAUGUACUGGCCUUGUUCGUAGGUCAAUGUCACAUUCGGGGGCAUUCGUCACAUACUGUGACAGCUCUUGUUUAUUGUGUUUUGGGUUAUGAUCUAGGUCAAAGUCAGUAUUGCUGAAAAGUACAAUUAUAGUUUGUACUGAAUAAGUAAGGGGUGACAAUGUGUGACCAAACUUGGUAUAUAUGACAAGUUAAUGAAGAGCUUUCAUUCGAAUGCCUUGGGCCCCAUUCGGAACUCCUCGGCCAUUUUUUCAAAAACAAUCUCGGAUGUAUGCCGGUACAUCUGUUGAAGUAGUCCGUAUUUUUUUUAAUAAAAUCAUUAAUUAAAUGUAGUGUUUAAGAGUUUUAUUCAUUGCUCUCAUCUUUAAAAAAUGUGUUUAAUGUGGAUAUAUUAUGAUCUAUGUGUCUUUGCACGUAUGCACUUGCUAGUAUUGCCUAAGAAUUUGACCUCUGAUAUUUUAUGUAGUAGUUAGAUGAUAUGAAGUAAAUUCUGUCAGAGUUAGUGGAACUAAUGAUCCAUUCUUAAUCAUUGAAAUGUACUAACAAGGCAUCUCACAGUCUUAUGUCUUUGUAUGCCUUUGAGGUUAUGUCUCCACAAAUCUUUAUCAUGGCCUGACAGUCUGCUUUCUUUAAUUUGUGUCUUUGUAUUAAAAAUAUGUAUUAUUUUUAAUACAUAUUUUAUUUAUAGUACUGCAUUUAUCUCCUAUCGAUUUUCAUGUUUUAUGUAACUUGAAACUUUCAUUAAGUUGUAAAAACAUUAAAUCUGUGAGAGUGUAGCUUUAAGAGAAACAUUAGUGAUUUUAGCAUCAAACUUGUUUUAUAUGUUCUUUUUAAGUUCUAGGUUAUUCUGUAAUCAUUAACCAUCAUUGUGCCAUAGAUAGACCUGUGAAAAAUUAUUAUAAUGUACUAUGUUAUAUUAUUGAAUAAAAUACUGAACAUGUUA